GGAGAGCUGUACUAUUUUAGAACAGGAAUCAAAUAAAAGAUUCCAAGAAAGAAUAGGAGUGAUGUAUUCCCUUGUUCUCCCUGACUUCAAAUGUGUCCCGGGAGUAUGAGUAAUUAAUAGGAAGGAUGAGAAGUAGAAAGAAGAUGAAGAAUGGGUACUUAUUGGACACUUUUUUGUACCGACAACUUUAGGAUUUUUUUUAACAUCAUCUAACUUAAUUCUUAAUUUAUCCGGUAUUGUCCUAUGUAUAUCCACUACUCCGGAACCCUCUUUGAUUCUUAGCACCUCAUGAAGUAAUAUGGCCCUAAAUACAUCCAACAGAGGGAUAGAGUAGAGGGGGUUAAUAAUAUGUGGUGAGCUAUCACAGAAGUAAAAUUCCUAGGAUAUGAUACAAAUAUUGGAUAUGCAACAUCAGGAAACUGUCUAAUUCCCAUUUGUGCUAAUGUUUAAAUCAUAAUCAUUUGGUCUUCAGUGUCUAAUCUGCAAAAUUAAGGGGUUUAUCUGGAUACUUGAGUCCGUUUCAUCUCUAAGGGCUAUAAGACUGAAAUGCCUCUGCUCACUAAACUGUAAAGCUUCUAUGUCCAAAAUAUACCAAUAGCUAAGGGAAUUGUAUCACGAUUUUGAUUCUCUCGAAGGCUGUGAAAGUAAACUGGGAUUGAGUUAAUAGACAAUACAGCUUUUUGAAAUAACUGUCUACUUUCUUUGACAUUUUAGACACUGUAAUUGAACUUUUUCUCCUAGAGAAAAGUUUAACCGUUCUUAAAAUUUCAAAACUGACAACCAGUUCUACUGCUUCUGUAGUCACAUAGGUUCCCAGUGGACUCUCCCUCUCUGAUAUAACAGCUAUCAACUCUGAAUCAAAACCAAAAAUAAAACAAACUACAACACACAGACCAAAAAAACAAAAACCAAAACAACAGCUCUGGACAGAGAGCAAAGGCAGGCAGAUUCUGGAGGAGCGUCAACACUGAAAGAGGGAAUUGGCUCAGGAUGAGUCUCCUACUGCUAUGGCUUUAUCCUUAGGACUGACCAUGGUCUGUGCUGCACUGGGUAGCAGUAAACCUGUUAGAAAACUCAGAAGUUUGAAUGAAACUCAGAGGUUUGAAUGACUGGAGAACAGUUUGGGCAAUAUCAGCUGCCAGAAAGUGAGGAGAGGCUUCGCUAAAGGGCCAAACUCUAUAUAUUAAUUCUGCUAAAAAUUCUGGCUGACCCUGAAACACACAUGCCUGGGGCAGACAGACUGUAAACAGUAUAGCUAAGGAUAAAAUAAUUAAAAUGAAAUGAAAGCUGCUACAAAGAGAUAGCAUUUAUAAUUUAAAUCCAGCCCAAUUAAUUGCUUGUUCAAGCCAAAUCAACAAGCAGUUAAUGAAUAGCUAAAUCCAAAUAUCUUUAAACAUCAGCAAUUUGGAGAAAUAUAAAGAACUGAAAAUUUUACAACAUAAACUUCCCAAAGUCCAGGAUGCAAUCCAAAAUUGUCCGACAGGAACAAUAAGGAAAAUAUAACCCAUUUUCAGAAGACAAAACAUUAACAGAAAAACAAACACAAAAUAACCCAGAUGUUGAAAUUAGCAAACAAGGGCUUUAAAGCAGAUAUUAUAAUUGUGCUCAUUGAGAUAAAGGAAUAUCUUCUCAAAAUAAAUUUUAAAAUCUCAGCAAAAGUACAGAAACUACAAAGUAGAGCCAAAUGCAAAUUCUAGCUGAAAAAUACAAUAUCCGAAAUUUAAAAAUUCAUGUGUUGGCAUAAUAAGAAUGGGGAUGAUAAAGGAAAGAGUCAGUAAAACUUGAAGCUAAAUGAAUAAAAAGUAUUUAAUCUGAAAUAGAGAAAAAAUUUUUAAAUAGCAAAAGCCUCAGGUACCCUAAUCAACUAUUUCAGCAAACCUCAAGCAGGAUAAAUAAAAAUCUCUGCUCAUCAUGGUCAAAUUGGCUG
ensembl:lncRNA